ACCAGCCAAAAGAAAAUUCAAUUUCCCUUUCUUCCUUCACCAGCCUGUUUCCAACAUAAUUUAAUUCAUGAAAAAUAAAUUUUAACUAUAAAUAAAAAUAUGAAGAAACAACAAUUUUUAUUGAUAAACGAUAGGGGUACAAAUCUAUUCCUCCCUUGAUUCUUCUCUCAUGAUUUUCUCCAUAAUUCGAGGGCCGUUAGUGGCGUAUUUCUCGAACAUAGGAGUAUUUGGAUUUGAUCUCCAUAAAAUGAGGUUUUGUGAAUCUUCUUGAUGUAUUUGAUUAUUAAGAAGAAAGGGUUUUGAUCUAUAAAUAUCCUAUGAAUUUAUUGGGACUUUGAAGAUCGUUGAUUUCUUUGUGAAUAUCCCGUGAAUUUGUGGGAUACUGGAGAUGCAUCUUUAAAUGGAUAUUUGCCCCCUUUAUAUAGGCAUAAUUUAGGGUUUAGGUUGAGUAGCCAUCAAGCUAGAUUUAGGGUAAAGUAGCCCCAAGAACUCUAACCAAAGCUGAACUCUUUUUGUAGAGUCCACAAAAUUUUAAUGUCUACAAAUGUUCCCUACUUCAAGGCUUGUCGGAGUGUAGACUUAAUGAAACUCAAAGACGAGUCUUGAAGUACCGCUUCCAUCUUUACGAUCCUACAGCUAUAAAUUUGCAUAUUUGAUUUAUGAGAGAAGAGAUGAAGGACAGAUUUGGUCCUACUGGGCGUGCCAAUUUGUUUCCAACAUAAUUUAAUUCAUGAAAAAUAAAUUUCAACCACGAAUAAAAAUAUGAAGAAAUAAUAAUUUUUAUUGAUAAAUGAUAGGGGUACAAAUCUGUUCCUCCCUUGAUUCUUCUCCCGUGAUUUUCUCCAUAAUUCGAGGAUUGUCAGUGGCAUAUUUCUCGAACGUAGGAUUUGGUAUGAAUUUCUCCGUAAUUUGAGGGUCGUUAGUGGAGUAUUUUUCAAAUGUAGGAGUAUUUGAAUUUGAUCUCCAUAAAAUGAGGUUUUGUGGAUCUUCUUGAUGUAUUUGAUUAUCAAGAAGAAAGAGUUUUGAUCUAUAAAUAUCCUAUGAAUUUAUUGGGACUUUGAAGAUCGUUGAUCUCUUUGUGAAUAUCCCGUGAAUUUGUGGGAUACUGGAGAUGCCUCUUUAAAGGGAUAUUUGCCCCCUUCAUAUAGGCAUAAUUUAGGGUUUAGGUUGAGUAGCCAUCAAGCUAAAUUUAGGAUAGAGUAGCCCCAAGAACUCUAACCAAAACUGAACUCUUUUUGUAGAGUCCACAAAAUUUCAAUGUCUACACAGCCAAAAGAAAAAUUAAGGCAUAUUUCUUUUCUCCGACCACCACCAAACUACAAGGUGCUUCCUCGUCUCUUUUUCCUAUCAACUUCCAUAUAAAAUGAUUAAUUAUUUAAAUAUGAUGUAACCCAAAAGCUGAUUCUAGUUCGAGAAAAAUAUAAAGAUGGACGAAACACUUUUAUCAAUUUUCCUCGAGAAAUUUGAAGCAAUGCUAAUAGGAAACAACUAUUUACAUACAUUAGGGGGGGAAGGAAAGUAAGUUUUCAGUUAAAAAAACUACUUUGUUGCAAAAAUGCAAGGUUAAGGAAUGUGGAGGGUAUUUUUGUAAACAAAUAUUUUUUU
rnacentral:lncRNA from 1 species